rnacentral:lncRNA from 1 species
UCUACAUCAGCCAUCAGAUCAAAUAGGAACCUCUAAUGUGUGUGACCCCGCAGGUUCGAACCUAAGUCGGUAGCACAAGAACCAAUUCCUGUACUAAUCGAAGUGACCAUCUAGCAAUGGUACCCAACAUCCGGAUAGGUCGAAGAGUCGCAAUCGCAACACUCAGAACCUACAUGAAUAUGGUUACUGUAUAAUUCAUCCUUUUGACCCCUGUGUUUAGGACGACUCAGGAUUAAACUGUCAACCCUGAUCAGAUCAUCCGAAUCGUGCUCAACUCAAAUAGUCCUGUGACUCCUCACAAGGACUACCCUGGCCAAGGUUUUGCUAAAUUAAAACAUGACUGUACAUAGCUCCUAAACUGAAGUGGUCAAUCCCAUCUUGACACACACACCGACAAGUCAAGUACUUGACUACACCCAACAGCCUUUCGUCACUGAAUUAGAAAUUCAGGUAGUCCAAUGCCUAAGUGCAGUGAGUUGCUUGCAAGUCACCAUGGCGGUCUCA